rnacentral:rRNA from 1 species
UCCCAGACUCCUACGGGAGGCAGCAGUGGGGGAUAUUGCACAAUGGGGGGAACCCUGAUGCAGCGACGCCGCGUGGGUGAAGAAGCGCCUCGGCGCGUAAAGCCCUGUCAGCAGGGAAGAAAAUGACGGUACCUGAAGAAGAAGCCCCGGCUAACUACGUGCCAGCAGCCGCGGUAAUACGUAGGGGGCAAGCGUUAUCCGGAUUUACUGGGUGUAAAGGGGGCGCAGACGGCGAUGCAAGCCAGGAGUGAAAACUCCGGGCUCAACCUGGAGACUGCACUUGAAACUGGGUGUCUUGAGGGCAGGAGAGGAAAGUGGAAUUCCUAGUGUAGCGGUGAAAUGCGUAGAUAUUAGGAGGAACACCAGUGGCGAAGGCGACUUUCUGGACUGUACCUGACGCUGAGGCGCGAAAGCGUGGGUAGCGAACGGGAUUAGAUACCCCUGUA